CCCUUAGAUGUUCUGGGCCGCACGCGCGCUACACUGAUGCAUUCAACGAGCCUAUCCUUGACCGACAGGUCCGGGUAAUCUUUGAAUCUGCAUCGUGACGGGGAUAGAUUAUUGCAAUUAUUAAUCUUCAACGAGGAAUGCCUAGUAGGCGCAAGUCAUCAGCUUGCGUCGAUUACGUCCCGGCCCUUUGUACACACCGCCCGUCGCUCCUACCGAUUGGGUGUGCUGGUGAAAUGUUCGGAUCGGCCGUUUGUCGCGGUUUCCGCGGCUCGUGGCUGAGAAGUUCAUUAAACCCUCCCACCUAGAGGAAGGAGAAGUCGUAACA
rnacentral:rRNA from 1 species